CGGCGAGCGACAGGGAUCAAGCCCAGCGCCGAAUCUCCGGCGGGAAACCGUCGGCGAAGUGUGGCGUACAGGAGGGUCCGUUCCCGGAAUUGGUCAGGCCGAGUCCAAGUCCAUCUUGAACGGGGCUACGGUCCGCAGAGGGUGCCAGUCCCGUAGCGACCGGUGACUGUUCCGGGUGGGCCUCUCCCUAGAGUCGGGCUGCUUGAGAGUGCAGCCCUAAGUCGGUGGUAAACUCCAUCUAAGGCUAAAUAUGACCACGAGACCGAUAGCGAACAAGUACCGUGAGGGAAAGUUGAAAAGAACUUUGAAGAGAGAGUUCAAUAGUACGUGAAACCGUCCAGGGGUAAACGGAGAAGACUCGAAAAUCCGAAAGGGGAGAUUCACGCUUACCGGUGUUUCUCUGACGGUUUGUCGCAGGGAUGGGUGACACGCCCGUUUCUCGGUCUCGGCCGGGAGCGUGGGGUCGCCCGCCCUCGGCUGCCGUUUGAGUCGCGGUGGGCCGCACUUCUCCCUCAGUAGGACGUCGCGACCCGUUCGGUGGCAAGCCUAAAGCGUGGCCGUAAGUCUCGGUGGUUCGCUAGCUCCUUGUGGGCCUGUGUUCCCCGAGUGGGCUGCUGCCUGGUAGCGGACCGGACGGUGGCAGACGAUGGUGAUGGACCGCCCUCUUCGGAGGCGCUCCGGUCGGGAGCGAGUCUGUGGGCGUUGGUUGGACCGGGUCUCUUUUGACUCGUCCGGCCGCGUCCCGGGCUGUCGGCUUUCGGCUCUGGGGCAGUGUUCACAACACCGGUCGGCGGCGCCGCAGUUUCGAGCACCUUCCCCGGCCCGUCUUGAAACACGGACCAAGGAGUCUAACGUGUGCGCGAGUCAUUGGGCGUCAAAACCCAAAGGCACAGUGAAAGUAAAGGGAGCUCCGCUCUCCGAGGGAUGACGGUACGGCCCUUGUGGCUGAGCCCGCAAUCCCGGGGCGUCUCCAGCUCAUUGCGAGCGGAGGCGCACCCAGAGCGCACGCGUUGGGACCCGAAAGAUGGUGAACUAUGCCUGGCCAGGACGAAGCCAGGGGAAACCCUGGUGGAGGUCCGUAGCGAUUCUGACGUGCAAAUCGAUCGUUAGAGCUGGGUAUAGCGGCGAAAGACCAAUCGAACCAUCUAGUAGCUGGUUCCCUCCGAAGUUUCCCUCAGGAUAGCUGGCGCUCGUGAGGUACGAGUCUCGUCUGGUAAAGCGAAUGAUUAGAGGCCUUGGGGUCGAAACGACCUCAACCUAUUCUCAAACUUUAAAUGGAUGAGAGACCUGGCUUGCUUAACUGUGAAGCUGGGGUUCGGAUCUUGAGUGCCAAGUGGGCCAUUUUUGGUAAGCAGAACUGGCGCUGUGGGAUGAACCAAACGCCGAGUUAAGGCGCCUAAACGACGCUCAUCAGACACCAUGAAAGGCGUUGGUUGCUUAAGACAUCCGGACGGUGGCCAUGGAAGUUGGAAUCCGCUAAGGAGUGUGUAACAACUCACCGGACGAAGCAACUAGCCCUGAAAAUGGAUGGCGCUGUAGCGUUGUGCCUAUACUCGGCCGCCAGCGGCAAACGUGGCGGCCCGGUUACCGGGACCCGCUGUUACGCCUUGGUGAGUAGGAGGGCCACGGCGAUGUGCGUAGAAGGUUCUGGGCGUGAGCCCGUCUGGAGCCGUCGCCGGCGCAGAUCUUGGUGAUAGUAGCAAAUACUCCAGCGAGGCCCUGGAGGACUGAUGUGGAGAAGGGUUUCUUGUGAACAGCUGUUGCACAAGAGUCAGUCGGUCCUAAGCCCUAGGAGAAAUCCGAUGCCGAUGGGCGCCGUUAAGCCGAUUUUUCGUGCGGAUGGCGCCCUUGGUGGGCGAAAGGGAAUCCGGUUCCUAUUCCGGAACCUGGCUACGGAACCGUUCCAAAUCGGGCCCUCAGAUGAGGACUCGUCGGGGUAACCCAAAAGGUCUCGGAGACGCCGUCGGGAGUUCCGGGGAGAGUUGUCUCUUCUCUAUAAGCGUUCGAGUUCCCUGGAAACCUCUAGCAGGGAGAUAGGGUUUGGAACGCGAAGAGCACCGCAGUUACGGCGGUGUCCGGAUCUUCCCCAUGGACCAUGAAAAUCCGAGUGAGGGUCACGAGGAACACCGUGCCAGACCGUACCCAUAUCCGCAGCAGGUCUCCAAGGUCAAUAGCCUCUAGUCGUUAGAAUAAUGUAGGUAAGGGAAGUCGGCAAACUGGAUCCGUAACCUUGGGAUAAGGAUUGGCUCUGAGGAUCGUGGUGAGCCGGGCUUGGUCGGGAAGUGGAGUGGUGUCAACGUGCCGGGCCUGGGCGAGGUGAAAGGAGUCCUCCGGGGCUCCUGGAACUGAAUUCGGUCCCGAGCCUUGAACCCCCACGGAUCUUCCUUGCUGCGAGCUGUCGGCUGCCUAGUCGCCCGCAAGGGAGGACGGGCCGGCUGUCUCUUCGGCCACCAUCUAACGGUUGACUCAGAACUGGCACUGACCAGGGGAAUCCGACUGU
rnacentral:rRNA from 1 species